rnacentral:rRNA from 1 species
UGGGGGAUAUUGCACAAUGGGCGAAAGCCUGAUGCAGCGAUGCCGCGUGGGGGAAGAAGGUUUUCGGAUUGUAAACCCCUGUCUUCGGGGACGAUAAUGACGGUACCCGAGGAGGAAGCUCCGGCUAACUACGUGCCAGCAGCCGCGGUAAUACGUAGGGAGCGAGCGUUGUCCGGAAUUACUGGGUGUAAAGGGAGUGUAGGCGGGACGGUAAGUCAGGUGUGAAAUUUAUGGGCUCAACUCAUAAACUGCACUUGAAACUGCUGUUCUUGAGUGAAGUAGAGGUUGGCGGAAUUCCUAGUGUAGCGGUGAAAUGCGUAGAUAUUAGGAGGAACAUCAGUGGCGAAGGCGGCCAACUGGGCUUUUACUGACGCUGAGGCUCGAAAGCGUGGGGAGCAAACA